AGCUCCAAUAGCGUAUGCUAAAGUUGUUGCAGUUAAAAAGCUCGUAGUUGAAUUUUUAGAAAAUUAAAAAAAGAAUUUAUCUUCCAGAAAGGAAUGUAUGAAUUUCUAUUAAUUUUCACCAAAUUUUACUAAUUAUUUACCAAUGUUAUUAAUUUAAUGUUGGAUAAAUUUUAGUUCAUUUACUUUGAAAAAAUUAAAGUGUUUAAAGCAGGCAAUCAUUGCCAAUUGAAUACAUUAGCAUGGGAUAAUAGAAUAAGAUUUUUAAAUUUUGUUUAUUAUUGGGUUUUAAAUUUAAAAAUAAUGAUUAAUAGGGAUAGUUGGGGAUAUUAAUAUUUAAUUGUCAGAGGUGAAAUUCUUGGAUUUAUGAAAGAUUAACUUGUGCGAAAGCAUUUAUCAAGGA
rnacentral:rRNA from 1 species